rnacentral:lncRNA from 1 species
UUGUGUUUUAACCUUGCUGUUUAGAGUGUUAGCAUUGUUAUAUUUUAGCGUCGUUGUUUAGUUUCAUUAUGCGUCUUUGCUACUAAUUUUCACUGUGAUGUCUGUAAAAAAUUAAAAAAUUGGUAUAAUUUAUGUGUGUUCCAAGUUAUUUUUUUUUAACACAUUAAUUCCAAGUUAGUUAUAUACAUUAAUUCCAUCGCCUCUGCAUGAUAAAAUUUACAAAGUAACAUUUUGUAAACGCUGAAUUGUUAUGACGCAAGAAA